rnacentral:rRNA from 1 species
UACGUAGGGGGCGAGCGUCGUCCGGAAUCACUGGGCGUAAAGGGUACGUAGGCGGAUAUGCAAGUCCGAUGUGAAAUGCCUCGGCUUAACCGAGGAGCUGCAUUGGAAACUGCGUAUCUAGAGUGCAGGAGAGGGAAGCGGAAUUCCUAGUGUAGCGGUGAAAUGCGUAGAUAUUAGGAGGAACACCAGUGGCGAAGGCGGCUUCCUGGCCCAAGACUGACGCUGAGGCGCGAAAGCGUGGGGAGCAAACAGG